ensembl:lncRNA
CAGCCAACUAAAAGCCCCUGUUUCGGGCCCCUAAAGGCAGGCCUGUUCCCACGCUCCGCAGAGUUCGCACUCAUCAGAGUUCUUGCACUCACCAGAGUUUGUGUUCGCCAGAGUUCUCACGCUCCCCAGAGUUCCCGCGCUCCCAGAUUUCCCAUGCUUCCCAGAAUUCUUGCGCUCCCCAGAGUUCCCGCGCUUCCCAGAGUUCCUGCGCUCGCCACAGUUCCUGCGCUCACCAGAGUUCUUGCGCUCCCCAGAGUUCGCGCUCCCCAGAGUUCGCACUCACCAGAGUUCUCGCGCUCGCCAGAGUUUGCACUUGCCAGAGUUCUUGCUCUCACCAGAGUUCGCGCUCUCCAGAGUUUUCACGCUCCCCAGAGUUCCCGCGGUCCCCAGAGUUCUYGCGCUCGCUGGAGUUCACGCUUGCCAGAAUUUCCGCGCUCGCCAGAGUUCUCGUGCUCCCCAGAGUUCGCACUCACCAGAGUUCUCGCUCACCAGAGUUCCCACGCUCGCCACAGUUCCAGCGCUCCCCAGAUUUCCCGUGCUCCCCAGAGUUCCCGCACUCGCCAGAAUUUGCGCUCACAAGAAUUUUCACGCUCGCCAGAGUUCCYGCCCUCCCGAGAGAUCUCGGGCUCGCCAGAGUUCACACUCACCAGGGUUAACGCUCAGCAGAGUUCUCGCGCUCACCUCAGUUCUCGCGCUUGCUAGAGUUGGUCCUCGCCAGGGUUCACGCGCUUGCCAGAGUUCACGCUCACCUGAGUUCCUGUGCUCCCCAGAGUUCCCACGCUCAUCAGAGUUUGCGCUCGCCAGAGUUCUCGCACUCCCCAGAGUUCCUGCGCUCGCCAGAGUUCUCGCACUCCCCAGAGUUCCUGCGCUCCCCAGAGUUCCCGCGCUCCCCAGAGUUUGCACUCACCAGAGUUCCCGCGCUUGCCAGAGUUCUCGUGCUCCCCAGAGUACGCGCUCCUCACAGUUCCCGCGCUCGCCACAAUUCCUGCACUCCCCAGAGUUUGUGCGCUCGCCACAGUUCGGGCUCCCCAGAGUUCCCGCGCUUGCCAGAAUUUGCGCUCACAAGAGUUUUCACGCUCGCCAGAGUUCCCAGCGCUCCCCAGAGUUCCCACGCUCGCCACAGUUCCUGCGUUCACCAGAGUUCGCACUUACCAGAGUCCUUGCGCUCGCCAGAGUUCUCAUGCUCGCCAGAGUUCUCAUGCUCGCCAGAGUUUGCAUUCGCCAGAGUUUGCAUUCGCCAGAGUUCGCGGAAUCUCAAGAGUUCACGCUCGCCAGAGCUCCCGCGCUCCCCAAUGUUCGCGCUUGCCAGAAUUCUUGCGCUCUCCAGAGUUCUCACGCUCCCCACAGUUCGCACUCACAGGAGUUCCCGCGCUCCCCAGAUUUCUCGCGCUCCCCAGAGUUCGCACUCACCAAAGUUCACGCUCCCCAGAGUUCUCAUGCUCACCAGAGUUUGCAGUCACCAGGGUUCUCAUGCUUGCCAGAGUUCACAUUCGCCAGAGUUCUCGCGCUUGCCAGAAUACCUGCGCUCCCCAGAGUUCCCGCCCUCCCCAGAGUUCGCACUCACCAGAGUUCCCGCGU